UGGGCGUAAAGGUCGCGUANGCGGNCUGGCNAGUCUAAGGUGAAAUCCCUCGGCUCAACCGACGAACUGCCUUGGAAACUGCCGGACUUGAGUUCCGGAGAGGAAAGCAGAAUUCCCAGUGUAGCGGUGAAAUGCGUAGAUAUUGGGAGGAAUACCGGUGGCNAAGGCGGCUUUCUGGACGGAAACUGACGCUUAGGCGCGAAAGCUAGGGGAGCAAACGGGAUCAGAUACCCCG
rnacentral:rRNA from 1 species